UACGUAGGGUGCAAGCGUUAAUCGGAAUUACUGGGCGUAAAGCGUGCGCAGGCGGCUUUGCAAGUCAGAUGUGAAAUCCCCGGGCUCAACCUGGGAACUGCAUUUGUGACUGCAUGGCUGGAGUGCGGCAGAGGGGGAUGGAAUUCCGCGUGUAGCAGUGAAAUGCGUAGAUAUGCGGAGGAACACCGAUGGCGAAGGCAAUCCCCUGGGCAUGCACUGACGCUCAUGCACGAAAGCGUGGGGAGCAAACAGG
rnacentral:rRNA from 1 species